GCUCGACACUUUGAAACCUACACGCCACCUAAAUGGCUAUUGGACAUUGGGAAAAGCAGUGAAAAGUCCCAAGAUUUCUCCCCAUUAAGAUUCGUUUACGUUUUACAGGCGUGGAUUACAUAUUUUGAAUACCAGCUGAGACGUUUCCCCAUCCCUUAUUAAUGACAUUGCUGGAGGAGCCGAAGAUGGAGCUGAAAUCGUCCCUCUUGCCCCUGCAUCAUGUAGGCCCGUUCACUGCAUUUGAGGUAAAUAUCUUCAACCGUAGUCCCUUGUCCUCUGGCUCUCGACCCUUUGACUGCAGGGGCUGUCGAGUAUAGAUAGCCCUGUUUAGGGAAAUUAAAUGUGCCCUUGAAGCAAGGUCAUUUGGUUGUUUUAAAUGGAAAAUCGAGCAGCACAAAUCAAUCCUGCCCA